CACGUUGAGAACAACAACAGCCUGGGCCCAGUCCAGCGCCAACUUGUGCUUCUUGGAGCGCCUUCCGCGGCCACUGGCUCCUCCGCCCGCGGCUCCCGGGCGCGGCUGCACCCUCAGCAGUGUGCCCUGGACAGCAUCCGAGCCCGCUGCGCUGCGCAGAGGCGGCCUGCGCCUAGGACGGGCUCAGCGGAGCGGCUCAGAGCUACCAGGAGCCCGCUGCUGCUGCUGCUGCUGCUGCUGCUGCUGCGUACCCUGCGUGCUGGAAUGCCAUGCUGCCCUCAGGCUCAGGCAGAAGCUUCAAUCAGGACAGAUGUUGUUCACCAGACUGGUGUCUGUUGGUCCAGUCAAUCUGAGGUCAAUCUUGUUUCCCAACACAACAAAAGGGAAGUUCUCGGGAUCCCGGGGGCUGGCCUGGAUGAGAAACUCGUCUCUCCAGCUGUCGAGGGUUUUGAAAGUGUUGGGGGCAGUCACAUCAAACACCAGAACACAGCAAUCUGCACCUCUGUAGAAGGCCACACCAAGAGACUGGAACCGUUCUUGACCGGCUGUGUCCCAGAUCUGCAAGACACAAACACAAAACACCUGGUCCUUAGGAGAUGCUUGUAGGAGUGACAUGGCUCCUUUCUUCUCCCAGGUAUGUACCUAGAACACGAAGCUACAGCUUCAAGACUAAUGGAUUCUGGGGGGAAUUUUCUGAUGUAUGUAGCCUAGGCAGGUCUUAAACUUGUAAUCCUUCUGCCCCAGCUUCCUGGGUGUUGGGAUUAUAGGCUAAAGUUAAUAUUUAUCUAUAGAUUUUUAACAAUGUCAUUUCUUUAAUC
ensembl:antisense Gm5577 predicted gene 5577